rnacentral:snRNA from 1 species
GUGCUCACUUCGGCAGCACAUACACUAAAAUUGGAACGAUACAGAGAAGAUUAGGAUGGCCCCUGCGCAAGGAUGACACGCAAAUUCGUGAAAUGUUCCAUAUUUUG